rnacentral:rRNA from 1 species
AUGGAGGGAGGAGUGAUCUCGGUGCCGGCGCCGGCGCCGGUUUGUUGCCUCGCCAACAGGGAGUUCCAGGCCACCCCCACCCCCAGCCCGCCCGACGAGUCGACGGUCCUCCGCGAGCUCAACGUCUCCGUCUCCCUCUCCGGUCUGGACAUUUCCCGCGGCCACCACGGCGAGCCGGACGUCCUGGGCCAGAGACGCAGCAAGUACAAGCCCAUGGUCCGGACAGUCUCCAAGAUGCACAUGGCGGCCAAGGCGGAGAAGAAGGCGGCGGCCGACAAGGCCAAGGCGGAGAAGAAGAAGGCGGACGACAAGGCCAAGGCGGAGAAGGCGGCGGCGCCGCCUGCAUCCCCCGAGUGGUUGAGGUUGUACCUUGACGAGGGGUAUGGGAUCAAGAAGCAGGUGACGGUGAAGAUAGACCAUCGGAACAGCUACAUAAGUGGCUGCUCGAGUGGGACAAGAAGCCUCGCGAUCCCCUGCCCAACUUCCCGGAGGAGCUUCGCGAGGCCAUGGACGCCAUCAAGGCCGAGCGCGACGAGAACGAGAGGGUCCUCGUCGACUUCAAGCGCGACGGCUAUGCCUACGUCCAGGUCGACGUCUUCAACGACGACAACCCAAGGGCCAACCUCCCCGCCGACCAGUACGAGGUCAUCCCCCACGACAGCGACGAAGAAGCUUGAUCUACUGAGCAACAUCUAUCUAUCUAUCUAUCUAUCUAUCUAUCUAUCUAAUGUCUGCUAUGGAUUAGUGUAUGAUUCCUCCUGGCGAUGUACUGCGUCCUAA